AUACUUACCUGGCGUAGAGGUUACCGUGAUCAAGAAGGCGGUUCCUCCGGAGCGAGGCUUGGCCAUUGCACCUCGGCUGAGUUGACCUUCGCGAUUAUUCCUAAUGCGAAUAACUCGUGCGUGUAAUUUUUGAUAGCCGGGAAUGGCGUUCGCGCCGUCCCGAC